rnacentral:rRNA from 1 species
UACGUAGGGGGCAAGCGUUAUCCGGAUUUACUGGGUGUAAAGGGAGCGCAGACGGCAGUGCAAGUCUGGAGUGAAAGCCCGCAGCUCAACUGCGGGACUGCUUUUGAAACUGUAUGACUAGAUUGCAGGAGAGGUAAGUGGAAUUCCUAGUGUAGCGGUGAAAUGCGUAGAGAUUAGGAAGAACACCAGUGGCGAAGGCGACUUACUGGACUGUAACUGACGCUGAGGCAUGAGAGCAUGGGGAGCAAACAGG